AAGUCGUAACAAGGUUUCCGUAGGUGAACCUGCGGAAGGAUCAUUAACACAAGUAAAAAACAUUUUACAACACCCUAUUAUGAAUUUAAAUUUUUUAAUUUUAAUUUUUUAUAAAACUACAUUUAAUUUAUUUGACUAACAUUUUUUAAUUAAUUUAUUUAAAAUUUUAUAAAACAACUCUUAACAACGGAUAUCUUGGCUCUC
rnacentral:misc_RNA from 1 species